UUGCAUAAAUAAAUACAAUUUAUUUCAACAUACAUAAAAGCAAUACAUGCUAGAUCACAUUAAAAACCCUCCAUUUGGCUAUUGUAGUUACCAAUGAAGGAGUUAAUAGCUCUGUUACAUUGUUGCUAAGGGACACAUUUGCAUAAAUAUUUUAAUACUUUUUCUUUCAUAGACCUAGAGUUUUAAUCACACAUUGAAUGUA